rnacentral:sRNA from 1 species
AAUUUUUACACUAACAUAAAUCUUCUUCUGCUGUCUAUCAACAAACAUGAAAUAGGAUUUUCUCCAACUAGUUUUGAACAGCAGCAAACAAAGAACCACCCAGAGGCUGAGGACAAAUCCAAUAGCCAUGCCAAGAUAAAGGGAUAUAUGUUCCAAAUCAACAUGAUUUCUAGGUAAGUCUUUGCUUGUCGCAUUUCCAGAACAGUUUCUAGUUAAAGGAGGACCACAUAGACCAAUGUUUCCAAUGUAGGAAGACGCGUCAUAUGAUCCCAUAGUGUUUCCUCUUGGAAUUCUUCCAGAUAGAUUGUUGUAUGAGAGGUUCAUGGUGCCCAAAGCGUUAAGAUCCUGCAUGCUCGAAGGGAUUUCACCAGAAAGCUCAUUGUGAGAUAGGUCAAGAGAUUCCAGUUGUUUGAGCUGACCAAUAGUCUCCGGGAUUUCCCCAUUUAUGAGGUUCCAAGAAAAGUUCAAACU